rnacentral:misc_RNA from 1 species
AUUCCGUAGGUGAACCUGCGGAAGGAUCAUUACCGAGUGAGGGCCCUCUGGGUCCAACCUCCCACCCGUGUUUAUUUACCUUGUUGCUUCGGCGAGCCUGCCUUUUGGCUGCCGGGGGACGUCAGUCCCCGGGUCCGUGCUCGCCGGAGACACCUUAGAACUCUGUCUGAAGAUUGUAGUCUGAGAUUAAAUAUAAAUUAUUUAAAACUUUCAACAACGGAUCUCUUGGUUCCG